GGGACAAACCAGACAGUCAGUUUCUGCCGCUUAUUUUUUUCCACACUCUCUCUCUCUCUCUCUCUCUCUCUCUCUCUCUCUCUCUUACUUUCUCUCUCUUCUUUCCCUUUAUUUCUAGUCUUCUCUGUCACAGAUCUUGAACUGCUCAGGCAAGAACUGAGAGCACUUGGACCCCCACGUACAUUUUGCAGCAAGGAAAAUGGCCUUCUCUCUGCUGCCAAAAUCAACUCCUUGCAUUUUGUUCUUGUUUCUACUCUCUUGUGUUUGCUUCACUUCAACAGAUGCUUAUGAUCCGCUUGACCCAAAUGGGAAUAUCACAAUCAAAUGGGAUGUUAUAAGCUGGACUCCUGAUGGAUAUGUUGCUGUUGUUACAAUGAACAACUUCCAACAAUAUCGCCAUAUCCCAGCACCUGGCUGGUCGCUGGGAUGGACAUGGGCAAAAAAGGAGGUAAUAUGGACCAUGAUGGGAGGGCAGACCACUGAACAAGGGGAUUGUUCAAAAUUUAAGGGAAAUGUUCCACAUUGCUGUAUGAAAACUCCAACAAUUGUAGAUUUGCUUCCUGGAACACCUUACAAUCAGCAAAUUGCAAAUUGCUGCAAAGGUGGCGUGCUCAGCUCAUGGGUGCAGGAUCCAACCACUGCAGUUGCAUCAUUUCAAGUAAGCGUUGGAAGAGCUGGAACCACAAACAGAACUGUCAAACUCCCCAAAAAUUUCACCUUGAAAGCACCAGGACCUGGUUAUACUUGUGGACCAGCUAAAAUUGUGAGGCCUACUCAAUUCAUUCAACCCGACAAAAGAAGAGUGACCCAAGCACUGAUGACGUGGAAUGUGACAUGCACAUAUUCACAAUUUCUUGCUCAGAAAACUCCCUCUUGCUGUGUCUCACUUUCAUCUUUCUAUAACGACACUAUUGUGCCUUGCCCAACUUGUGCAUGUGGCUGCCAAAGUAACUCGUCUCAGUCAGGGGGCUGUGUACAUCCAGAUACGCCACAUUUGGCACAGGUUGUUUCUGGCUCUGGGAAGAAUAAUUUUUCACCUUUGGUUCAAUGCACUAGUCAUAUGUGCCCAAUCCGAAUCCACUGGCACGUUAAGCUUAACUACAAGGAGUACUGGCGUGUGAAGGUUACUAUUAAUAAUUUUAAUUACAGGAUGAAUUAUUCUGAGUGGAACUUGGUUGUUCAACACCCAAACUUGGAUAAUCUGACUCAACUCUUCAGUUUUAACUACAAGUCAUUGACUCCUUAUGGUUCCAUAAAUGAUACAGCAAUGCUAUGGGGAAUUAAGUUCUAUAAUGAUUUCCUCAACCAAGCUGGCCCUAAUGGCAAUGUGCAAUCAGAGCUACUCUUCCGAAAGGAUGCAGCAACUUUUACUUUUGAUAAGGGUUGGGCUUUUCCUCGAAGGAUCUACUUCAAUGGUGACAACUGUGUGAUGCCACCACCUGAUGCUUACCCGUGGUUACCUAAUGCUGGUUUGCGACAAGAGGUUUCCUUGUUUGCUUUGGUGAUGGCUUCUUUGGUAGCGUUGCUAUUUUAUGCAUACACAUGAAGUUCCAAUCUGUGGUACACGUAGCCUUGUAAUAGAAAAUUUUCAGCCAGACCAGUUUUGGCUCAUAUUUGUGAUGUCAAUUUGGUAAUUGAAGCAAUUGGGAGGAUGGCCAGUGGCAACUCAAGACUAGAUCAUGUGUCCUAUCAUUUGUUAGAGGAUUCAGCAUAUUGGUGAUAGAAUUUGCUAUUGUUUUCGUGUCUGUUGUAAUGCAAUGAUGAAAACCUGGCUUCAAAAUUUCACAAAACAAUCCCAACUCACAUAUCUAUUGAUUCACCAACCAGCUAGCAUGACAAGCAGUGAGAAAAUGAAUGCUGGGAAGUUAAGUAGGUUUGCAGGGGCAGAAUUAGGGAGGAAUGGGUAGGUAUCAGGUGGUGGAAGCAUGCAUUCUUCACCAUUGAAGUAAACCUUUCGAGGAAAUGCCCACCCUUGCUUGAAUGUGAACGUAUUCAUGUCCUUCUGAAGAAGCACUUCUGAUUGAACAUUCCCAGUUGGUCCAGCUUCCAUUAAGAGAUCAUUGAAGUAUUUCAUGCCAUAGAACAUACCAGUGUCAUCUGCAAACAAAAUGAGAAUACACUUGAGCACUCAUUCAUAAGAGUUAGCGACUUUAUAAAACACUCAGAAAAGGUUUAUUUGCUGGAACUUACUUAUGGACUCAUAGGGAAGCAAAGGCUUGUAAUCAAAGCUGAACACUUGGGUGACAUUGUUGAGAUUUGGAUGCUGAACAGCAAGAGUCCAGAGUGAGUAAUUCAUCCUGUAAUUGAAAUUUGUUACAGCAAUCUUGACUCGCCAAUAAUCCUUGUAGUUGAGCUUCACAUGCCAGUGUACCCUUAUUGGGCACAUAUGAUGAGUGCACUGUAGCAGUGGUUCAUUGUCUUUUUUUGGGGUGUGAAUUCCCACCAUGCUGAGACGUUUAGAGUCACUCCUGCAUAUCAUACCAACAUCCACAGGCACAAGAGGGGCAAGGGGUAAUGGUCUCAUUGUAGAAGGAUGACAAAGAUACACAGCAACCUGGGUUCUUUCUGGCCAGAAAUUGUGAGUAUGUGCAAGUAACAUUCCAUGUCACUGCAUGACAUAAAACAAAAGUAACUAACAUAAUCUUUUGAACGGUGGAAGUUGGAGAGAAAAUUAACAUUAUAACGUUAAGGAACUUACUUAGUGCUUGAGUCUUGCGGCGCUUGUCAGGUGUUAGGAAAACAGUAGAAGGAACAAUCUUGGCAGGGCCACAAGUGUAGCCUGGUCCUGGGGCCAAGAGAGUGAAGUUCUUAGGGAGUUUAACUGUCUUGUUUGAAGUACCAGCAAGGCCAACACUGAUUUGGAAGGAUGAGACAGCUGAGGAAGGGUCUUGGCCCCAUGCUGCCACCACUCCACCUUUGCAACAGUUUGAGAAUUGCUGGUUGUAAGGCACACCAGGUAGCAAGUCUACAACCGUGGGAAUUUUCUUGCAGCAGUGAGGCACGUUGCCUUUGAACUUAGAGCAAUCUCCUUGCUCGGUGGUUUGAGCCCCUACCAUGGACCAUAUAACUUCUUUCUUUGCCCACGUCCAUCCCAAAGUCCAUCCAGGAUUCAUUAUGUGCCGAAACAUUUGGAAAUUGCUCAUUGUUACCACUGCCUGGUAAAAAAUGCAAUAGACAGAAACAGGUGAUUUCAUUACAUUGAAGGUUAAUUUUACUCGAUGUGCAAUAAAUUAAUGCUAGCUGACUAUACUGUGACCUAUGUAUCUUAGUCUUUUAAUUUGAUCUUUCAAUGCAUCCUUGCCAACCUAUGAUGCACCAAUACAAUAUGUGUGUAUAGUAUAUGAUACGUAUCAGAUGCGCCCACAAAACUAUUCUUAAAAUAUAUAGGAUACAGUAUGUAUCGGAUCCAUAUCUAGACAUGUAUGGAAAUCCAUAAAACAUUACAAAAUAUAAUUACUACAAAUUAAAGUUAAGAACAUCCUCCUUGGACAUUGCUAAGAGCAAAAUAAAAAUAUAAAUCAUUAUAAU